CAGGUGUAGAGGUUUGAGUACAGUAAUGGUGUUAAGCUCGUGCCCAGUGAUGGGGACGCACAGCACAGAAGCGGGCUGGGCAUGGGGGCUAGACCUCUCCUGCCAGGCGCCGCGCCGGGGCCCCUCCCCUUCCUGGCCUGGAUGCUGCUGAUGUGGUUGCUGAUGAUGGAGCGCUGUGAGUCGCCUCGAGUAUUACUAGCCGCGCGGCGAGAAGAAAACCCUCAGAUGUUAUUGAUU
rnacentral:lncRNA from 1 species